rnacentral:sRNA from 1 species
AUUAUCAGUUAGUUUUACCAACCAUGGAAGUUUGGUGCUGAAACCCCAUUCUCCUGGCUCUGUCCAUUCUCAAUAUGGAAAACACUUUGGAGAUCAUCCUCCCAGAAGUUCCUUUGCUGAGAGAACAUUUGUAGCCUGAGAUAGAGCCAGGUCCAACUGAUUCAGGGUGCACUGGCUUUCCAUGCUGUUUUGAGCAAACUGUUGGAAAACAUCUCCUUGUUCGGCAAACCGAAAAGCAGAAUUGGAGCUUUCUAAUGAGAAAACCGAGCUCGCUGAAGGGCCGCAUGCUUGGAACAUCUGAAUUGUAUCAUGGAAAAUGUGAGUAAUUAACAAGUCAUUGAGCGCAUCACGAAGGUAUGACAAGCAGGAGAUGAUUCAAGCUCACAUCUUUCUGCAGCAGACGAUUGCACGUAGUUUAUGAUCUCAUCAAGCAUGAUUAGUCGAUAUACCUUGUUGCAUCCUGGAACCAGGUCCUGGAGAACCUUCAUCCUCUGGCUGAUCCUCUCUCUUCUGACCUAACCAAAUCGAGGCUGUGGCUGUCAGUGGCUUGGCCUCGCCUCGCCCGGACAUGGACAUAGUCCUUGGGUGGCUCCACCGGCUUGGCAUUCUUCCCCUUCCCUUGCUUCUGCCCGCCACCGCCGCCGUCCUCGACGGAGCUGUCGCUCCCGGCCUGCUCCGCCUUCGGCUUCACCGAGCUCUCCUUCUCGCCAUUGCCCGUCUUGCACCUCUUGCCAUCUGAUUCCUUCUCUUCCCCAACCUGGCUCACCGGAGGCUCCUUGCCUUUGCCCUUGGCGGCGGCGGCCGCCGCCGCCGUGGACUUCCUCUUCUUGGCAUUGGCGGCGGCGUCCUUCAUCGCCGAGGAGGCGGGAGCCCCGCCCCCGCGCCGCCGUACCGCUGCCCAACACCGCCGCCGCCGUUGUUGAAGCUGGACAGCCGCGCGGCGCGCUCCGCGAACCCCGGGUCGCCGCAGAGCUUGUCGAGGCCGCAGUCGCCGCCGCCGCCGCCGCCUCCCGGCGCCACGAUGGCGUCCAGCACCGGCACGCCGAAGUCGAGCCGGGGGGAGGAGCUGAGGAGGCUGGAAAUGUAGUCGCC